GCGGGCAUCGUAUAAUGGCUAUUACCUCAGCCUUCCACGCUGAUGAUGCGGGUUCGAUUCCCGCUGCCCGCUCCA
rnacentral:tRNA from 1 species